GAUGGCUAGCUGGUCUGAGAGGAUGAUCAGCCACACUGGAACUGACACACGGUCCAGACUCCUACGGGAGGCAGCAGUGAGGAAUUUUGCGCAAUGGGGGAAACCCUGGCGCAGCAACGCCGCGUGAGUGAAGAAGGCCCUUGGGUCGUAAAGCUCUGUCGACAGGGAAGAAAUUAACAUCAUCCAAUAGGUGUUGUUAUUGACGGUACCUGUAGAGGAAGCACCGGCUAACUCCGUGCCAGCAGCCGCGGUAAUACGGGGGGUGCAAGCGUUAUUCGGAAUUAUUGGGCGUAAAGGGCGCGUAGGCGGUCUUGUCGGUCAGGUGUGAAAGCCCAGGGCUCAACCCUGGACGUGCAUUUGAAACAGCAAGACUUGAAUACUGGAGAGGAGAGAGGAAUUCCUGGUGUAGAGGUGAAAUUCGUAGAUAUCAGGAGGAACACCGAUGGCGAAGGCAUCUCUCUGGACAGACAUUGACGCUGAGGCGCUAAGGCGUGGGUAGCGAACGGGAUUAGAUACCCCGGUAGUCCACGCAGUAAACGUUGUACACUCGGUGUGCCGGAUAUUAAAAUCUGGUGUGCCCAAGUUAACACAUUAAGUGUACCGCCUGGGGAGUACGGUCGCAAGACUAAAACUCAAAGGAAUUGACGGGGGCCCGCACAAGCGGUGGAGCAUGUGGUUUAAUUCGACAACGCGAAGAACCUUACCUGGAUUUGACAUCCUGUGAAUAUCUUGUAAUUGAGAUAGUGCCUUCGGGAGCACAGUGACAGGUGCUGCAUGGCUGUCGUCAGCUCGUGUCGUGAGAUGUUUGGUUAAGUCCAGCAACGAGCGCAACCCUUAUCUUCAGUUGCCAGCGCGUAAUGGCGGGAACUCUGGAGAGACUGCCCGGGUUAACCGGGAGGAAGGCGGGGAUGACGUCAAGUCCUCAUGGCCCUUAUAUCCAGGGCUACACACGUGCUACAAUGGUAAAUACAGAGGGCAGCGAGCCAGCGAUGGUGAGCGAAUCCCUAAAGUUUAUCUCAGUCCGGAUUGGAGUCUGCAACUCGACUCCAUGAAGUUGGAAUCGCUAGUAAUCGUGGAUCAGCAUGCCACGGUGAAUAUGUUCCCGGGCCUUGUACACACCGCCCGUCACACCAUGGGAGUUGAUUAUACCCGACGUCGCUGGGCUAACCCUUCGGGGGGGCAGGCGCCUAAGGUAUGGUUGAUAACUGGGGUGAAGUCGUAACAAGGUA
rnacentral:rRNA from 1 species